AUUGAACGCUGGCGGCAGGCCUAACACAUGCAAGUCGAGCGAGCGGCGGACGGGUGAGUAAUGUAUGGGGACCUGCCUGAUGGAGGGGGAUAACUACUGGAAACGGUAGCUAAUACCGCAUACCAUCAGAUGUACCCAUAUGGGAUUAGCUAGUAGGUGGGGUAAAGGCUCACCUAGGCGACGAUCCCUAGCUGGUCUGAGAGGAUGACCAGCCACACUGGAACUGAGACACGGCCCAGACUCCUACGGGAGGCAGCAGUGGGGAAUAUUGCACAAUGGGCGCAAGCCUGAUGCAGCCAUGCCGCGUGUAUGAAGAAGGCCUUAGGGUUGUAAAGUACUUUCAGCGGGGAGGCGUUACCCGCAGAAGAAGCACCGGCUAACUCCGUGCCAGCAGCCGCGGUAAUAC
rnacentral:rRNA from 1 species